GACGAACGUUGGCGGCGUGCCUAAUACAUGCAAGUCGAACGCAAAACUUUCACCGAAUGCUUGCAUUCACGAAAGUUUUGAGUGGCGAACGGGUGAGUAACACGUGGGUAACCUGCCCAGAAGAGGGGGAUAACACUUGGAAACAGGUGCUAAUACCGCAUAAUAACAAAAACCGCAUGGUUUUUGUUUGAAAGAUGGUUUUGCUAUCACUUCUGGAUGGACCCGCGGCGUAUUAGCUAGUUGGUAAGGUAAAGGCUUACCAAGGCAAUGAUACGUAGCCGAACUGAGAGGUUGAGCGGCCACAUUGGGACUGAGACACGGCCCAAACUCCUACGGGAGGCAGCAGUAGGGAACCUUCCACAAUGGACGAAAGUCUGAUGGAGCAACGCCGCGUGAGUGAAGAAGGUUUUCGGAUCGUAAAACUCUGUUGUUAGAGAAGAACGUGUGUGAGAGUAACUGCUCAUGCAGUGACGGUAUCUAACCAGAAAGCCACGGCUAACUACGUGCCAGCAGCCGCCGUAA
rnacentral:rRNA from 1 species